rnacentral:rRNA from 1 species
AGAGUUUGAUCCUGGCUCAGGACGAACGCUGGCGGCGCGCCUAACACAUGCAAGUCGAACGAGAGAGAAGGAGCUUGCUUCUUCGAUCGAGUGGCGAACGGGUGAGUAACGCGUGAGGAACCUGCCUCAAAGAGGGGGACAACAGUUGGAAACGACUGCUAAUACCGCAUAAGCCCACGGCUCGGCAUCGAGCAGAGGGAAAAGGAGCAAUCCGCUUUGAGAUGGCCUCGCGUCCGAUUAGCUAGUUGGUGAGGUAAUGGCCCACCAAGGCGACGAUCGGUAGCCGGACUGAGAGGUUGAACGGCCACAUUGGGACUGAGACACGGCCCAGACUCCUACGGGAGGCAGCAGUGGGGAAUAUUGCACAAUGGGGGAAACCCUGAUGCAGCGACGCCGCGUGGAGGAAGAAGGUCUUCGGAUUGUAAACUCCUGUUGUUGAGGAAGAUAAUGACGGUACUCAACAAGGAAGUGACGGCUAACUACGUGCCAGCAGCCGCGGUAAAACGUAGGUCACAAGCGUUGUCCGGAAUUACUGGGUGUAAAGGGAGCGCAGGCGGGAAGACAAGUUGGAAGUGAAAUCCAUGGGCUCAACCCAUGAACUGCUUUCAAAACUGUUUUUCUUGAGUAGUGCAGAGGUAGGCGGAAUUCCCGGUGUAGCGGUGGAAUGCGUAGAUAUCGGGAGGAACACCAGUGGCGAAGGCGGCCUACUGGGCACCAACUGACGCUGAGGCUCGAAAGUGUGGGUAGCAAACAGGAUUAGAUACCCUGGUAGUCCACACCGUAAACGAUGAUUACUAGGUGUUGGAGGAUUGACCCCUUCAGUGCCGCAGUUAACACAAUAAGUAAUCCACCUGGGGAGUACGACCGCAAGGUUGAAACUCAAAGGAAUUGACGGGGGCCCGCACAAGCAGUGGAGUAUGUGGUUUAAUUCGA